rnacentral:misc_RNA from 1 species
GUGAAUCAUCGAAUCUUUGAACGCAUAUUGCGCUCUCUGGUAUUCCGGAGAGCAUGCUUGUUUGAGUAUCUGUAAACAUCUCAAAUCUCUCAGCGCUUGCGUUUGAGAGGAUUGGAUUUGAGCGAUCCCGACCCUUUCAUCAGAGAGAGUCGGGUCGCUUGAAAUGCAGGUGCAGCUGGACAUUCUUCUGAGCUAAAAGCAUAUCUAUUUAGUCCCGUCAAAAGGAUUAUUACUUUUGCUUCAGCUAAUAUAAAGGUCGAAUGAACUACCAACGCUGAUUGCAGGAAAACUUGUUCAUAA